CUGAAAGCGUCUUCUGACUUGAAGACAAGUAGCUCGAAGUCAACUGAGUCUCAUAUUCCACCGUUUAUUGGAUGAUAUGAGCUUACCAUAACACAUUCUUCUUCGUUUAAUUAAUGGUAGCAUUUCUGAGCAUAUGUGAUGAACGAAGUGAUUUGUAUGAAGUACGUGACGAUAAUGACAACAGCUGGUCUGCAAAUUGAUGGAGUAUAACAAAACUUGCUUAUUCACUGCACGUCUCUAGAAUGCAGAACAUACUGGUACUCUUCACAGCUAAUCUCUUGCUUGUAUAUACGGCUUUCGAUCAGGAUCAGUUAUUUAUAGAAGAUCCCCCACCUGGCUAUUUCGACAGAAUAACUAUUAGAG